rnacentral:sRNA from 1 species
AGCCUAAACCAACGAGAAAUUGUUGGCAUGGUGAAAAGUCCGUUCAAGACAAAAACCCCAUCAUAUGGGAAUGUCUUGAACGGCCACGUCGGGAAACCGGCGCGGAGGACGCAAGUCCUC